AAAAUAAAAGAAUCUCGUUGUAAGAAGGCCCAAGAGAAAGCCAAGGGACUCGAAGUGUUAUUAUAUCACAAUCAUCGUAAUUGAAAUGAAAACAAAUGUGACUUAUCGUAGCCAUAAAAGAAAACCAACAGGGAGUGUAAAUAGAAACCGUCAGAUGGGCUUAAAUCAAUAUUAAGCUUUAAAGUAAAUAAAGUCAAUUUCUAUAAAUAUUAAAAUAAUAAUAAUAAUAAUAAUAAUAAUAAUAAUAAUAAUAAUAAUAAUAAUAAUAAUAAUAAUAAUAAUAAUAAUAAUAAUAAUAACAAAAUAUAAGAUAAAGUUCUAAAGGUACAUAAACCAAUCAACGUAAAUACCAAAAUAAUAGCACUCAUUUCCAACUUCCAGUAAGAAUUUCUUUUAAAAAAACAACAACAAAACUAAGGCCCUUUCUAGCAACACAUUUAUACCAAACCACUUUACCAACUUAUUUCCUAAGAAAAUGAUAGUGUAUCUAACACCAAUAAUGAAAUGUUAAAAAAAACUACUACUGCAAGUUACAUAUGUUACUCCUUUAUCUUUCUAGAAAUGGAAAAAAAACAUAUAAACCAUUAGUUACUCACGUAACCUGUUACCAAAAAAAAUAUUUUCAAUACUUCUUGGCCCACCUAUAACAUCAACAAAUGAUCACAGCUUUUAACUCAAUUCUGGUUCAUUCUUAUGAAAAUAUCAAAACAUUGGCAACAGGAAAAUAAAAAAAAAAUGAAAAUAAUAAUAACAGCAUAUCAUAUUGAAACGAACUCUUUUUUCAGAAAUUAGAACAUCACAUCGGAAACACCAAAAUCUCACUCGGUUUCUUCUUAAAAAAUUUGUUCAAACAUUAUUUGGAUCAUUCUUAUCAGACCAAUAUGCAUCACUCCUGGUUUUCAAUCUACUCCAAUUUGGUUAAACUUAAUCUCAUAGCACCAACAAAUAUCAAUCAACAGAUGUGAGCAAUCCAUAACAGGUACAACCGAAACAACAACAACAAAAAAAGAUUGAUUAUUUCCCUCAUAUUCAAACAAAAAUCAACAAAAGCAAUAUAGAUUCGGGCAUGGAACAAGCUUUCCCUAAUGAAAAUGAAAGUUAACAAAAUCAAAAUUGAUACAUCCGAAAGCCAUAACUGCAGCAUACAUAUCAAAUAAUAAAGCGAAUGAAACCGGAAUACGACACAAAUAGAUAGUAAAAAUGAAAUCGGAAAAUAAUCGAAUCGAAACACCACUUAAACCUUAAUGGAUGAUGCUGAUUUUGUCGCCGAGUCGACUGCCUCACGUACUGAUUGAAACGUCGAAUGUUGCUCUGCACAGCUCAGAACCCACAACCAAUUUGUUUGCCUAAAUCGUGUCGGUGAGUCGCAACAAAAGCGAAAAGCUUGCGCAGUUGCUUGGUGGUUUUUUGAAACUUUGAAUGAGGGUGGAAGAGGGUCAGAACAGUGAACUAAACUUGGAGCAACGGGAGUGUUGAAAAAUGGUUGAUGGUUGUUGCCAGUGGGUUGUCGGUGGAGAACAAAGUGAUAAAGGAAGGGUCGCGGCGGUGGUUGUUUUGGAAAGCUCGGUGAUUUUUUGUGAUGGAAAAAAUGGAAGCCUGAAGGAGUAGAUGAGUCUUAGCUAUCAGGUUUUCCUCUUUUGUUAAUAUAUUAAGCCAAUAAUCAUGAUGAAAAAUAAAAGACCUUGCCCAAAAAAAAUCCUAACAAAUCUAGAGAAUAUCCAAUGAAGAUCGUCCUAGCUGACAAUUCGUGGACCACCAAAGUUAGCGUGAGAGCCUCCUGCUUUCAAUCAGUCUUCUAUCUCUAUCUCUUGUGUUAUGAUUACUUUGGAAAAGAGAAAAUCAAAUCCUACGCCGCCGAUCGGUCCUUUCGAAAAUG
rnacentral:lncRNA from 1 species